UACAGAGGGUGCGAGCGUUAAUCGGAAUUACUGGGCGUAAAGGGCGCGUCGGCGGUCAUGCAAGUGAGAUGUGAAAGCCCCUGGCUCAACUGGGGAAGUGCACCCGAAACUGAGUAGCUUGAGUGCAAAAGAGGGCCGCGGAAUUCCCGGUGUAGAGGUGAAAUUCGUAGAUAUCGGGAGGAACACCGGUGGCGAAGGCGGCGGCCUGGGUUGACACUGACGCUGAGGCGCGAAAGCGUGGGGAGCAAACAGG
rnacentral:rRNA from 1 species